rnacentral:rRNA from 1 species
GAUGAACGCUGGCGGCGUGCCUAAUACAUGCAAGUCGAGCGAACGGACGAGAAGCUUGCUUCUCUGAUGUUAGCGGCGGACGGGUGAGUAACACGUGGAUAACCUACCUAUAAGACUGGGAUAACUUCGGGAAACCGGAGCUAAUACCGGAUAAUAUUUUGAACCGCAUGGUUCAAAAGUGAAAGACGGUCUUGCUGUCACUUAUAGAUGGAUCCGCGCUGCAUUAGCUAGUUGGUAAGGUAACGGCUUACCAAGGCAACGAUGCAUAGCCGACCUGAGAGGGUGAUCGGCCACACUGGAACUGAGACACGGUCCAGACUCCUACGGGAGGCAGCAGUAGGGAAUCUUCCGCAAUGGGCGAAAGCCUGACGGAGCAACGCCGCGUGAGUGAUGAAGGUCUUCGGAUCGUAAAACUCUGUUAUUAGGGAAGAACAUAUGUGUAAGUAACUGUGCACAUCUUGACGGUACCUAAUCAGAAAGCCACGGCUAACUACGUGCCAGCAGCCGCGGGUAUACGUAGGUGGCAAGCGUUAUCCGGAAUUAUUGGGCGUAAAGCGCGCGUAGGCGGUUUUUUAGUCUGAUGUGAAAGCCCACGGCUCAACCGUGGAGGGUCAUUGGAAACUGGAAAACUUGAGUGCAGAAGAGGAAAGUGGAAUUCCAUGUGUAGCGGUGAAAUGCGCAGAGAUAUGGAGGAACACCAGUGGCGAAGGCGACUUUCUGGUCUGUAACUGACGCUGAUGUGCGAAAGCGUGGGGAUCAAACAGGAUUAGAUACCCUGGUAGUCCACGCCGUAAACGAUGAGUGCUAAGUGUUAGGGGGUUUCCGCCCCUUAGUGCUGCAGCUAACGCAUUAAGCACUCCGCCUGGGGAGUACGACCGCAAGGUUGAAACUCAAAGGAAUUGACGGGGACCCGCACAAGCGGUGGAGCAUGUGGUUUAAUUCGAAGCAACGCGAAGAACCUUACCAAAUCUUGACAUCCUUUGACAACUCUAGAGAUAGAGCCUUCCCCUUCGGGGGACAAAGUGACAGGUGGUGCAUGGUUGUCGUCAGCUCGUGUCGUGAGAUGUUGGGUUAAGUCCCGCAACGAGCGCAACCCUUAAGCUUAGUUGCCAUCAUUAAGUUGGGCACUCUAAGUUGACUGCCGGUGACAAACCAGAGGAAGGUGGGGAUGACGUCAAAUCAUCAUGCCCCUUAUGAUUUGGGCUACACACGUGCUACAAUGGACAAUACAAAGGGCAGCAAAACCGCGAGGUCAAGCAAAUCCCAUAAAGUUGUUCUCAGUUCGGAUUGCAGUCUGCAACUCGACUACAUGAAGCUGGAAUCGCUAGUAAUCGUAGAUCAGCAUGCUACGGUGAAUACGUUCCCGGGUCU